rnacentral:rRNA from 1 species
UACGUAGGCAGCAAGCGUUGUUCGGAGUUACUGGGCGUAAAGGGUGUGUAGGCGGGUGUUUAAGUUUGGUGUGAAAUCUCCCGGCUCAACUGGGAGGGUGCGCCGAAUACUGAAUGACUAGAGUGCGGGAGAGGUGAGUGGAAUUCCUGGUGUAGCGGUGAAAUGCGUAGAUAUCGUCUGGAACGCCGAAGGUGAAAACAGCUCGCUGGGGUUGUGCUGACGCUGAGACACGAAAGCGUGGGGAUCAAACAGG